AGCGAACGCUGGCGGCAGGCUUAACACAUGCAAGUCGAGCGCCCCGCAAGGGGAGCGGCAGCCGGGAGAGUACCACGUGGGAACAUACCUUUUGGUUCGGAACAACUGAGGGAAACUUCAGCUAAUACCGGAUAAGCCCUUACGGGGAAAGAUUUAUCGCCGAAAGAUUGGCCCGCGUCUGAUUAGCUAGUUGGUGAGGUAACGGCUCACCAAGGCGACGAUCAGUAGCUGGUCUGAGAGGAUGAUCAGCCUCACUGGGACUGAGACACGGCCCAGACUCCUACGGGAGGCAGCAGUGGGGAAUAUUGGACAAUGGGGGCAACCCUGAUCCAGCCAUGCCGCGUGAGUGAUGAAGGCCUUAGGGUUGUAAAGCUCUUUUGCCCGGGAAGAUAAUGACGGUACCGGGAGAAUAAGCCCCGGCUAACUUCGUG
rnacentral:rRNA from 1 species